rnacentral:rRNA from 1 species
GAGCGCCGUAGCAAUACGGAGCGGCAGACGGGAGAGUAACACGUGGGAACGUACCCUUUGGUUCGGAACAACCCCAGGGAAACUUGGGCUAAUACCGGAUAAGCCCUUACGGGGAAAGAUUCAUCGCCGAAGGAUCGGCCCGCGUCUGAUUAGCUAGUUGGUGGGGUAAUGGCCCACCAAGGCGACGAUCAGUAGCUGGUCUGAGAGGAUGAUCAGCCUCACUGGGACUGAGACACGGCCCAGACUCCUACGGGAGGCAGCAGUGGGGAAUAUUGGACAAUGGGCGCAAGCCUGAUCCAGCCAUGCCGCGUGGGUGAUGAAGGCCCUAGGGUUGUAAAGCCCUUUCGGCGGGGAAGAUAAUGACGGUACCCGCAGAAGAAGCCCCGGCUAACUUCGUG